AAAAAAAAAAAAAAAACCCAGUGCCAUUGAGUCGAUUCUGAUCUUUUUUUUUUUUUUUUUUUAGGUAAUGGAAAAUACAAUAGAUUAGUUUGAGAAUGAGGUGCAUAAAAAAGUAGCAACAGGAGAUAAAGCUGAAAAGACAGAUUGACAUCACAUAGUGGAAGAUUUUAAUGGCAUAUUAAUUAGAACAGGCUUUAUUCUAUAGUUAGAGCGAGUCACAGAAGGUUUUUGAGCUAGGGAGCUACUUGAUGAGAAUUAUGCUUUAGGAAAAUUUCUCUUUUAUCAGUGGGUAAGACAACUUUUUUGAGAAGAGAGAUUGGAUGUACAGAUAUUUAUUAUGAGGAAUUACACUAUACCUGAAGAUUAAGAUGGCAUAAACUAGAGCCGUGCUGUAAGGUAGACCUAUAUGUAGUGCUUUCUUAUAAUGAAAGAACUUGCAACUCUUUGGACCUAGGGUUUAGAAGAGAUAAUGUAAUGUUUCACUUUAAACAAUGGGGAAAAUGGUAGUGGCAUUAUUAGUAAAGAUAGUAAAGUAACCAGUUGGAGGAAUAAACAAUAUGAAUUUAACUUAGGAUUGUUGACAAGUGGAAACAUUUGUGAGUUCAGUGAUGAUGUUUAGGAGGAAAGCCUCGGCUAAAGCUACAUAGCUCUCCCAUCUGAAGUCUCUAUGACUUUGGCUCACAAAUGUUAUUGAAUGAAAACAUGUAUAGUAACAUCGUAUACAUUGAGUAGAACUCACCCAAAAGUUAAUUUUUAUUUAUGUUGAUUUGGUCUUGGUAAUCCUUGCCUCAGAUUGAGUCUUCCAAAAUUUAACAGCUUGUUUAAAUGUCUAUAGCACCUGUUACACAGAAAUUCUCUAAUUUAAUAAGCACUGAAUGCUUUACAUUAGUGAGCCCCUUCAGAAGCUGUACUCAUUAAAAGUUGUGAUGACAUAGACACCUUGGGAAAUUUGGGCCAUAUCUGCAUAGAAAUGAUAGUCAGUCAUCUUUUGGGUUUCCAAGAGAACCUUGAAGAAAUACUGUUGGUCCUUUUCCUGGAUUGGUCUUUUACAGAUUUGUGCCCUCUUGGACCUUGUUUGGAAACCCUGGUGGUAUAGUGGUUAAGUGCUAUGGCUGCUAAUCAAAAGGUCGGCAGUUUGAAUCCACCAGGAACUCCUUGGAAAUUCUGUGGGGCAGUUCUACUCUGUCCUAUAAGGUUGCUAUGAGUCGGAAUCGACUCUAUGGCAAUGGGUUUUUUUGGGACCUUGUUGGGGUGGGGGUUUGUUUACCCUUGCUGGCUUUCUCAUUCAUGUCUUCCUGUUAGCAAACUGUAACUAAUUUCCAUGUUAUUGCUUCCUCUAAGGACGUUUGCAUUUUAAUAACAGUCUCUUUGAAUACUCAAGAAGAAUUAAAUAUCUAAUAGAGGAUUUUUUAAAUAAUGAGGAUAUAUAUAUUUGUGUGUGUGUGUUUGAGGUGACCAGGAGAGCAUUUCCAACAUUCCUCACACCCUUACAGUACAACUUCUAAUUAGCUAUAUGUUAUAACACCAGCCCCAACUUCUAGACUGAAAUCAUAAAAUCUUCUGGGUUUUGAGAGGUCCUACACUCAAACCUCCCAGUUCAGGGCAGAAAUCCUAUCUUUAAAUUUCUUCGCCAAUAGUCAGCUAACCAUUAUCUGAACACUUUCCAGUUCUAUAAAUUUCACUAUUUCACAAGGUAGAGAAUUCAAGUUUUUUUUUUUUUCAUUGUUAAAAAUAAUAUUGCAUUAAUGAACUGAAAAUUCCAUCUUUGGAAUGUAAAUGCAUUACCCCUAGUUCUCUGCUCUGGGGCUACCCAGAACAGGUCUAAUGCCUGCCCUACAUGGAGCCACUGAAAUCAGAAAGGCAUUUAAUUUGCUCCUUGAAAUGCUACCUCACCCUCCUCUUCCCUUUUCCAGACCAAAUACCUUUGGUUUCCUUAAUAGACCGUCAUGAUCCUUUCUAGACUCCAUACCAUUACAUCUCCCUUACGAAAAUGCACCCAAUAUUGUUCAUAUUCCUCUUAUACUGUGCCUCCAGAACCGACAACACAGUAUUCCAGAUAUGGUCUGACAAGUAUGACACAGAGUGCCUCGUUGCCUCCUUUUAUGUAGUUGCUGCUCUCUUAUUAAUAUAGUUAACACUGCAUUAGCUUUGCUGGCAGCCAUCACAUUCUCCUACUAUGCUCCACUUUCAUUCAAAUAAAAACCUUUAGUUUUUCCUUUAUGUGUACUGAUGUCUGUCGGACCUCCCUUAUACUUGAUUUAUUUCAUUAAUAAUUUAACCUAAAAUCUUAUUCUUAACAUUUGACGUGAAAAAUGCAAUAUUAUUUUUUUGCCUCUCACCUAAUAAUAGAAGAUAAAAGGAAUACUAGAGUAAAACAGUUCUCUCUUGCUAGCCUGUUAUGAGUGUACCGUCUUCCAUAAGCAGCAGAUAGAUCUAUAAUUUCACUUUCUUGUUGUUGCAAGCUUAGCUUUAAAAGCCUUUUUUAUUAUCUUUAACAUUUUACAAGUAUUGGUUCUUUUCUGGUCUUUCAUCUUUCUGACCUUAUUCUACAUUGUAGUUCAACAUUAUAGGAUCAAUUCAGAUAAAGAGAAAGUGUUCUUUAAAAAAAAUAGGAUUUCUAUGCUAUAUUUUCUGACUUUACCAAAGCAUUCUGUGCCAUUGGUAUUUCCAACUACUGAGCAAAUGAAUUGAUUACAAAGUCUUACUGUGAAUAAUUCACGGUGGCAAGAUUGGAUGUACUAAUCAAGUCAAGAAAUUCAUCAAAUUUUUAAUUCCCUGGGAAGCAGGAUUUGGUGCCAGAACAAAUGUAAAGUUUCUGAAGAAGUCAUUUGAACUUCCUCUGUCAUUAUGAAAUAUAAACCGGCUGUAGAUAACGUGUCUGAAUUCCUGAGCAGUUCCGUUUGUUGAAUGUAUGUAGCCUCUAAAUCAAGUGGCAAGCCAUCAGCUUUCAAUCAGAUCUGUGGAGAAUAGAUGGUGACUAUUUUCCUGAGCAACUGUUGUAAGGGGAGCUAUUUGGGGCUAAUGCCAGGGAAGAUAGAAGAAACAAUUUAAGGCUGCUUUUAAGUGUCGCUUCAAAAUAAGGUGUUUCCUUUGGAAAUCAGAGAGACACGUGUCAUUUGUAUAAAUAAGGUUUUGGAUACGGUCUUCAUGUGACUGCUGAAGGGCAUAGUAUUUUUUCUUUGAAAGGCAACUGCAGCCAUAGUCUGGAAAAACAAAAUAAAGCAACAACAGCAGCAACAAAAACCCUAUGCCUAUAUACUGUUCAUAUUUGUCUUUUUAUCUGCUAAUCCUCGAUGUAAUACUCACUCACAUUCUUUAAUACAAUAGACAGCAAUGUGAGUAAUGCAAACUUGAGAUCUAAAUGUACUUGGUAAGCAAGCAAGGUUACACAUUUCAUUCUUAGGAAGAUUACGUCUUCCUCAUUUGUUUAUAUUUACUAUGAUUUUACGUGGUUUAGCCUUAAAUAUAAUGCCCUUUAUAUUAUCAGAAUCGUUAGUAUAUUUCUUUACUCAUAUAUCUAGAACAUUAUCAGAUAAGUGUUGAAUCAAAAGGAAUGCUGCUAAGUCCCUGAAGACAAACUGUCUUUCCAACCUGUUUUGAGUAACAAAUGAUAAUGCCACAUUUUUAGUGAUGUGGGGGAGAGUGUUGCUGUUAAGGUGCCUCUUUUGGGGGCCUUCUGUUUGCUGGACAUUUUUAUUAGGCAUUUAGUUUAGUAUUCCUGGCCAUCCUAAAGUACUUGCAUUAGCCUUGUGUAACAAACCAGGAAACAAGCCUUUAAGUAACUACCAAAGUUCCCUUAGACACAUGGCUGGUGAAGAUUGAACAGCGUAUGACAAAGCCCAUGUUCUUUCUAUUCUAUAUCAUGGGGCCUCUUUCUGUCUGUCAUUUGUGAGUGUAUGCAUAUGGUUGGUGGUGGUAGCGAUGGUGGUAUUAUCGAUGAUGAUUUAUUUCUGGAGGGUUUGAGAUGAUUUUUCUAUAGGUCUGGGAAAAUAGCAUGAGAAAAAUGUACAUAAAUUCAUGGCAAAGACAAACUUCUCUCUAGUCACCUGACCAUCCCACCAUCCCUCCCCACAAAUUCCUCCCUAGGAAUUCUUCUCUGUGACCCCUAUCACCGUCCUCCACAAGAGGAAAAAAGAUAUUUUAAAAAAGAAAAAAAGUAGAGCCCUACAUAUUCAGGUUAAUUAUUGUGAUUUGUGUAUCCUAGAGUAGAAUUUACACGUAUCACAGUUCAUGUUCAAAGUCAAACUCUUCUGGAGCUCAAAUUAUGUGCAUGGUCUCAAUUUAAGUUUACCAUGUGGUAUUCGAUGUAUGGUUUAAAAUCUCACAGCUUAUUUAUAAGGUAUUUGUCUUGAUAUACACAGAUUUAUAUCCUUCUGAGUGCAAACAACACUAGAAUCAAGUGUUGUUAAAUUACUUGUCAGCAUGCUGUUGGAGUGGGGGUGGGAAUGAUAGUAUAAUAACAGCCCCCUUUCCAAAUGGCAUUGCAAACUGUCACAAUACGGAGAUACUAAGAGGAGUGAGCCUGAAGUAUGGCGUGUGAAGGAUAUGUGAAUCUAGGCCAAGAAAUAUUUAAAGCUAAGGGAACAGAUGAGUAAAUAGUUGGAUUUGACCCAAGAUCUUUGAAAGGCUUUCAUUAAAUGGCUGCAAGAUGUACUUUGUAGAAUGUAAAUUCAGACUCUGACAUUUGCAACCUGUACACAGAGUUUCUAAUGAGCAAAUAAGGUCACUUGGAUGAUUCACUGGAGUGUGAUUGCUGAAGGCAGAGAUGUUGCUUUGAGUUACUCAGUUUACAGAAGCCUUUGAAGUGUGGUUAUUUAACACUGUGUUUCUUAGAAACUAUGUUUUCAGCAACAAAUAAAAACAAAGGACUUCAUUUCAGAUUAGCUAAAUGCCAGAUUCUAUCAAGAUUACAUACUUAAAGGUUAAUUUCUAGGCGAAAGAAAAAGAGCAUCUCAACUUCACUUUCCAGUUUUUCAAGUUAUCGAUGUUUUGAUAGAAAAACAAAUGCAAGGUAUCCUCAUAGGAGUUGUACACUAACUCUUCAACAGGUGUGUGCUGCUUCUUGUGUGUGUGUGUGUGUGUGUGUGAGUGUGUGUGCAUGUGCAUGUGUGCCUUGAUCCUGCAACUUAGUGAUGAUGUUCUUGAUGUGAACAAAGACAGAUAAUGCUACUGACAAUUUUAUAUUUGACAUUGGUCCUUUUGUAUCUAUAGCUUCAUAACAGAUGAAUAGUCAUUGCCUAGGUCAGCCGUGUUUAGUUUCCAGAGGACAGUGACACUUUUAAACAUUACUUAGAGACCCUUCUGAUCAUUUUUUACUGUUAAAAGGAUCUCUGUGAUUUAAUGAUAAUGACAGUGCCCCCACCUCUACUGGUAUUAAAAAGGCUAUAAUUUAGCUUCAUUUUUCUACCCAGGAAUUUGAGAUGAAUCACAAAGUGAGAAAAUGUUUUACACAAUUAAAAUUAUUGCAAUUGUGCCACCACUUUUUAGAUUGGUUCAGUAUAUAGUCAUAAGAUGUUAAGCAGUAGUAAUAAUGAGCAAGCCCUUACUGCACACAAAUGUUUUUAGUUUUAUUUUUUGUUUGUGUUGAGUAGCCGUCACAGUACGCUGAGAUAUCAAACAGCAUUGUUAUCUACAAACCGUAGAAGGAAUGCAUAGCUCAGUUGCACAGUGAUACUGUCCUCUAUUUUCCGAAACCUGUCUAGCCAUGGUUCAGUCAAGGUGUCUCUUUUAAUUCUUGUCUUUCUGGAGCAAAAAAAAAAUCAGAAAUAUUGUGACCUUUAAAAACAGUACAUACCCACCUAGUAAUAAGUAUCACUGAUAAUUUUGUGUGUGCUGGGGUGAUCAUUUUUACUAGUUGGUGUAGAAGGGAGCCCUGGUGACGCAGUGUUUAAGAGCUCGGCUACUAACCAAAAGGUCAGCAGUUUGAAUCCACCAGCUGUUCUUUGGAAAUUCUGUAGGGCAGUUCUGCUGUCCUGUAGGGUCUCUGUGAGUCAUGAUCACCUUAACAACAACAGUUUUGUUUUUUUUUCUUCUAUUAUAUAGAAAAAGGAGCCCUGGUUGUUUGGCGGUUAAGUACUCAGCUGCUAACCAAAAGGUAACAGCAUUGCAAAUAUGGAAGAAGACAUUUUACAAUGAAAACAUUGGCAUGAAAGAUUUCACAUCUAACCUUUCUUUUAAAAUAGUCCAUUAUUUUAUCUAAUAUAGAUGGUUCUCUUCCUUUUUAAAAAAUAAGUUAUAUUUAUGUCUGAUGCUAGCUUUGUUGUUGUUUUUAAUAGAUCAUUCUGUGUCUAAACUAAAUUUAUAAUAUUGAACAUUAAAUCACUUUUUCCUCUGGAUUUCAGUAGUUAUUGGCCUUUCUUUUUCAGUGAAUAUCUCUUUCCUGCCAGAAAGCUGUUUAGGUCUUCUAUAACUAAGAUAUUAUUUUCAUUUCCAUCAUUUCCUGUUAAGAUGUUCUAAUUCAGAAUCUUACUGGGUAAAAGGAAAUGGUCAGUGUUUUAUUUACAUCUGAAAAUACUUGAGGAUCCUAGAUGGCUUCUUAGAAUUAAGUCAUGAUUCAAGUAGAGGUUCUCUGUGGUUAUUUAAGGGCUCCCAAGUGUGUGUGGUUGCUAUAACCAAAAUGAAGAGCUAUUGUUUCUCCAUAAAAAGAUGGAGAAAGUAAUGAACAUUUUUUUUUUUUUUUCUAGGAAGUAAUGUCUUCAGUUGAAAUCAUGUGUAAGAACCAUCUCUAAUUCUAUUAAAUUUGCUUCUCUUGGGCUAAAGCUAUAGGGUUGCUGUGAGUCAGAAUUGACUGGAUGGCAACAGGUUUGUUUUUUUUUUGGAGGGGGGGCUAAAGAUGAAAAAAAUGCCUAAUUAAUGCAUAUAAGCAAAAAUUAAUCUCUGGAAUUAAUUAUGGUUCUUUUUUAUUGUCAUGAGGUAUCAACCAUUAAAUAAGGAAAGUGUUCUUUAGAUAUUAUCAAGUAAAAUGAUUUAAUGAAAAUAUAGCUUGAUUAAAUACAAUUAUAUUACUUUUCAUUGACAGACCAUGAGUGUUUUAUUACAGGAAUAUCACUUAAAACAAAAAUUAGCGUCUUUGUCCAUAAAGUUAUAAAAAUUAUUGUGAUUUUUUUUUUUCUUUUUUUUGUAUGAUGACUCAGGCAAGGUCAUCAUUGUAACUAUGGGCUUGAUAAAGAUGCCUCUAAACCUCCACGCCACCUUGACCUGUGCCACUGUGCCCGAUCACCAAGCAGAAUGGCUAGUGCAUAGCAUGGUGAUGUUUAAUGACUGUUAGGAAAUACUGGGCAGCAUAGGAUCAUAGAACUUUUAAAAGCUAUGAGAAUUGCAGAAUAGCCUAGUUCACUCCGUUCAGCUUAAAAGCAAUUAUCUUGGCUAGGAAAUACAGAAGAUUAUGUUAAGAGAUGGUUUCUCAGUUAGUACCAAGAGUUACAUUUGCAUCUCACUUUAUAGCGUAUGAAUGUUUUUAUUUACUUUCGUUCAUCUGAUCCUCACAUCAUCUCAGUGAUUCCGGUCAGGCAGACAUUCUUACCCAACACUAGAAAUGAAAAUCAAAAAGAUUUAUAGCUUUCCCAAAGCCCUGUCCCUAGUAAAUCAAUAAAUGUGAUUUAAAUCUGGUCCCUCUUUCCAGUACUCUUCUUCAUUUGGGCACCAGAUAAUUCAUCUUUUAUGUUGCACUGUAGAAAUGCUACUAAAACAGGUAAAGCAUGUCUCACUAAUUAUAAUUUUAUUUGUUUCUCUACUUUUAUUUGUGAAAGUUAAGGGUGCCUCUGGCUAAAUAUUUCCUACAGUGUUAUACUAAACUGGUCUCUGACGCGCAAAGUAUGAAUCAACUUAAGGUAUUUUUACAACUCAGUCACUUUAAAAGGGUAAGAUAAUUUUUAAGGAAAAAUAUGUCUCCUCAAAAUUUUUAUUAAACCAGAAUAUAAGCCUAAGAAUAUUUUGGCUUCAAGUACCGACCGGAAACUGUAGGUUCCACAAUAGGCAUUAGAGGAUAUUAGAGGAUAAAAGGGUUUUUGGACUAAAUAUCCCACAGAGAGUUGAAAGAUAAGAGCCUGGUUUCAUCAGCUUUCUUGAUGAUCUCUUGCUCAUGCGUUCCUUGACUAGUAGAAAUUAUGAUACGUACAUUCGCCCCAUUUUACUGACAGGUUACAGCAUAGGCGUUCUCAUUUAUUUUAGCCACACACAGUAGAUACAGCUUUCGACAGACUAAGGGAGAGGAAUUUCCCCGUAGAUUUAUAUUAGAAGCAUUUAAAGUUAUGUAUUUUCUUACUCUAAUAAUUUUGAAUGUAGAAAAUCUGUUCAUCUUGGGGUUUUGUCUUCUGGCAGCAUCAGAUAACUUAUAUACAGGAUGCUUAGAAUUGUCCUACAUGAUUUGAUUAAAUCUCUGCAGACCAUGGAGCCCUGGCCGGGCAGUGGUUAAGAGAUCAACUGUUAACCAAUAAGUUGGCAGUUCAAACCCACCAGCCACCCUGGGAAACUCUAUGGCGUAGUUCUAUCCUGUCCUGUAGGAUCAUUAUGAGUCGGAAUCGACUCAAGGGCAACAAGUUUGGUUUUUCUGGUUUUCUGCAUUGGAAUUUUAAUGAUAUAGACUGAAUGAAACUCAUAUUUGUGAAAUGACUGUAAAUAAAUUCAUAAUUAAAUCUUUAUAGGAUUUGAUUCAAAAACUGCCAGAAUUUUUGCACACUCAAUUAUGUAAAUGAUCUCCAUGUUUGACUAUGAUAGCGAAAACAUUUGUGGAUUUUUUUUUGAAUGGUACCACCAGGCAUUUUGCAGAAAUAGCAGCUUUACUCGUCACUUGUAUUAUUCUUUGCCACUUCUAACUGGCAAAAUUAAGCCAGUGUGACCUUUUUUUUUUUUUUAAAA